AUGGGUCCUGCACACGGUAGAGAAAGGUUACCGUAUUCAGUUCGGCUCUGCACCGCCGAUGUUCAACGGGGUUACUCCGACGAUAGUCGGCCCCGAGCAGGGUCUGGUUAUGGAACAAGAAGUGAAAGCCCUAUUAGAGAAGGAGGCCAUCGAGGUGGUCCCUCCUCAAGACAGGGAAUCCGGAUUUUACAGCCGGUAUUUCAUAGUUCCAAAGAAGGAUGGGGGGUUGCGUCCGAUCAUAGACCUGCGGGUCUUAAAUCGAUCAGUUAUGAGACUGAAGUUCAAGAUGCUCACGAUCAAGCAUGUUGUAGCGCAGAUCAGGUCCGAGGACUGGUUUGUCACAAUAGAUCUCAAAGAUGCAUACUUCCACAUAUCCAUCCUUCCACAACACAGGAAGUUUCUGAGGUUUGCUUUCGGGGGCGAAGCUUACCAAUAUCGAGUACUUCCCUUUGGCCUCGCACUCUCACCCCGCACGUUCACGAAAUGUGUAGAUGCGGCUCUGGUCCCCCUGCGCAUGCAGGGCAUCCGCAUUCUCAACUACAUCGACGAUUGGUUGAUUUUAGCUCAGUCAGAGCAGGCUGCGGCUCGGCAUCGAGAUGUCGUUCUCGCACAUAUGGGGGAGCUGGGUUUGAGACUGAACGCCAAGAAGAGUGUACUUUCUCCAGUUCAGAGAACCACCUAUCUAGGCGUAGUAUGGGAUUCGACCACGAUGCAGGCACGAUUGUCCCCUGCUCGUAUCGAGUCGAUCCUCAUCUCAGUCGAGAGAGUCAAAGAAGGCCAGUCACUCACUGUCAAACAAUUUCAGAGAUUGUUGGGUCUGAUGGCAGCUGCGUCCAACGUGAUACCUUUUGGCCUGCUGUACAUGAGACCCCUACAGUGGUGGCUCAAGACCAAGGGAUUUUCCCCGAGGGGCAAUCCACUUCGAACUAUCAAGGUCACGCGGCGCUGCCUCCGUGCCUUAGACAUGUGGAAGAAACCUUGGUUCUUGAAUCAGGGCCCAGUGCUGGGAGCUCCUGGUCGCCGUGUAACACUAGCGACGGAUGCUUCCCUCACUGGUUGGGGUGCGGUCAUGAGUGGCCACCCUGCCCGCGGUCUGUGGAGCGGUCGCCAUCUGACAUGGCAUAUCAAUUGUCUAGAAAUGCUAGCAGUUUAUCGUGCACUGAAGCACUUCCUCCCAGACCUAAGGGAUCACCAUGUGUUGGUGCGCACCGACAACACAUCGGUGGUCUCUUACAUCAACCACCAGGGAGGUCUGCGUUCGCGCCCCUUGUACAAGCUGGCGCACCAGAUCCUUGUGUGGUCCCAGGGCAAACUCCUCUCACUCAGAGCAGUAUAUAUUCCUGGGAAACUGAAUGUGGGAGCAGACAUACUGUCGAGGCAGGGGCCGAGGCCCGGGGAAUGGAAGCUUCACCCCGAGGUGGUGGAGCAGAUAUGGAGAAUUUUUGGCAGAGCUCAAGUAGACCUCUUUGCAACUCAGGAGACAGCACAAUGUCCCCUUUGGUUCUCUCUAGUUCAUCCAGCUCCCCUGGGACUGGACGCUAUGGUACAGACCUGGCCGAGGCUUCGUCUGUACGCAUUUCCCCCUAUUGCUCUGCUCCCGGGAGUUCUGGCGAGAGUACGCCGGGACGGGGUCCGUCUAUUGUUAGUAGCCCCGUUCUGGCCGGGCCGAGUAUGGUUCGCAGAUCUGGUCUCGCUCCUCGACGGCUCUCCUUGGGAGAUACCGAUCAGGACAGACCUACUCUCACAGGCGCAGGGCACGAUAAUUCACCCUCGCCCGGAGCUGUGGAAGCUGUGGGUGUGGCCCCUGAGGGGGCGCAGUUCAUAGCAUCCGGUCUCUCAACCGAGGUUGUUGAGACCCUCCUCCAAUCCAGAGCUCCCUCAACGAGGAAACUGUACGCCCUGAGGUGGAAACUCUUCACCUCAUGGUGCAGAAACCGCCAGCUAGACCCAGUAAACUGCCCAGUCGGUACAGUUCUGGAGUUCCUACAGGCCAGGUUCUCUGCAGGGUUGACCCACUCCACGUUGAAGGUCUACGUGGCGGCCAUUGCGGCCUACCACGCCCUUCUCGAUGGUCAGUCUUUGGGAAGACACCCAUUAGUUACACGUUUCCUCCGCGGUGCGCUGAGGCUGAGACCUCCAGUACGGUCCCGUAUUCCCCCGUGGGACUUGGUUGUGGUGCUAGAGGCCUUGUGCAGACCUCCAUUUGAGCCUAUUCAAGAUAUUUCAGACAGACAUCUGACACUCAAAACCGCCUUUCUGUUGGCCAUUACCUCUCUGAGGAGAGUAGGAGAUUUGCAGGCCCUCUCAGUGGCCCCUACAUAUCUGGACUUUGCACCUGGCAUGACCAAAGCGUUCAUAUACCCUCGAGCGGGAUAUGUUCCUAAGGUCCCCUCUGUCACACCACAACCUGUAGUGCUGCAGGCUUUCUGUCCUCCUCCCUUUCGGGAGCCCGACCAAGAGAAGCUAAACUGUAUGUGUCCAGUUCGAGCACUGGACGCAUACGUCCACAGAGCUGCCCUGUGGAGAAAAACAGACCAAUUGCUUGUAUGCUAUGGUCCCCCCAAGAGGGGUUCUCCUGCUUCUAAGCAGUCUAUUAGUCGUUGGAUAGUCGAGGCUAUCAACGCCACCUAUGAGUCCUCUGGUCGUCCCCCGCUGUUGGGAGCCAAGGCUCACUCCACACGGGGUAUGGCGGCCUCCAAGGCCUUUUUGGCAGGUGUAUCCAUGCUGGACAUCUGCAACGCUGCGGGGUGGUCCACGCCCUCUACAUUCGCAAGAUUUUAUGGCUUAGACAUGCUGGUCACUCCAGGCGCAUCCGUCCUCUCGUCCUAA
ensembl:lncRNA